rnacentral:lncRNA from 1 species
CCGGAGAACCGGUAUGAUAUCCGGUACCGGUUCCUCCAACCCUGAAUAAAACUCCUCUUCGCAAAUAGGGGAACAUACUAUGGCUAAAAAAAAUUGAAAAUUUUUAAAUGAAGUCCGCAAAUGAUGCGGUCGCAUCUCUUGUUUCUUUCGAAAUAUGGGAUGCGGCCUCGGCUUCCGCCAGCGUCUGCCACCGCUCCUUCUCCCUUCCUCCCCUGCUCGCUCUCUGUUUCUCUUCUUCUCCGCCUCUGGUAGGUUUUCUCUCUCGGUACGGGCUCGACAUGACCCGUACCAACUUGUUCUGCUAGAGAACCGGUAUGAUAUCCGGUACCGGUUCCUCCGACCCUAAAUAAAACUUCUCUCCCCCCC